rnacentral:rRNA from 1 species
ACUCAAAUGAAUAGACGGGGGCCCGCACAAGCGGUGGAGCAUGUGGUUUAAUUCGACGCAACGCGCAAAACCUUACCAGGGUUUGACAUGGAAGGGACGUUUUCAGAAAUGGGAAUUUCCAGCAAUGGACCCUUUACACAGGUGCUGCAUGGCUGUCGUCAGCUCGUGUCGUGAGAUGUUGGGUUAAGUCCCGCAACGAGCGCAACCCUCGCCUUCAGUUGCCAUCAGGUUAAGCUGGGCACUCUGAAGGGACUGCCGGUGAUAAGCCGGAGGAAGGUGGGGAUGACGUCAAGUCCUCAUGGCCCUUAUAUCCUGGGCUACACACGUGCUACAAUGGCAGCAACAAAGGGAAGCUAGGCCGCAAGGUUAAGCAGAUCCCAAAAAGCUGUCUCAGUUCAGAUUGGACUCUGCAACUCGAGUCCAUGAAGGUGGAAUCGCUAGUAAUCGUAAAUCAGCAUGUUACGGUGAAUACGUUCCCGGGCCUUGUACACACCGCCCGU